GGCCUCCGUGUCCCGGCCCGGCGCGGACGGCCACAGGCGGGCCCCGACCUGCCCGCGUGCGCCCCGCGCUCCUCCGCACCAGCUCUGAGCGCGCACAGGUCUCGUCGCCGCCCCCGCGAGCAGGUGUUUCUGUGCUUCUGGGUUUGUUUUUUUCUUUCUUGGAGAUUGGACUUUGUACUUCGGCAAACAGCAGCUGCUCGCUCGGCAGUCCGCACGCCGCGGGAAGGUUGCCGCGGGAAGCAGGAGAACUUUCUCAUUUUCCCAGAAUUUAUUUCUUCAGUCAAAGGUCUGCCAAUUGUGAGGAAAGUUACAUUUACAAAGACACUCAAAAAGGCAGAUGGGGGAUAAAACUCUUUCUGAUGACCCUCAGAGGAAGGGCUGAUGCGGAAGGGAGUGAACCCCAGCUAUGUAGCAGGCACUGUACAGAUGCUUGGCAGACUUCCGUUACCCAUCCCAGCAGACCUCUGAGGUAGGCACAUUGCUACUUGCAAUCCAGUUGAAAAAAGCAGGCUCAGGCGGGCUAAAGGUCCUGCUUGGGUGACAUCACUAUUAAAUGGUGAAUUCUGGCUUCUAACCCAGUUUUUGAUAGAGGUUGGAGCCCAUUCCAUGUUCGCUAUACAAACUGCCCACUGAGAGCAAGGCCGUCAAAAUGCCCCCACAGCCUAGGUAUAUAGGGCCCUGGAAUGAUUCAAAUUCACUUACAAGCAUGUGAUCUCAGUCAAAUUAGUUAAUCUCACAGGGGACCUGCUCCCUCAUCUAUAAAAUGGAAAUCAUUGUUAUAAGACGCUAAUUAGUUCAUCCCCGCACCAUAUAAACAUUCAACAAGUGUUACUGAUCAUUCUCCAAUUAUACCCCCAAUGUUAUUUUAUUGCAGGG
rnacentral:lncRNA from 1 species